rnacentral:lncRNA from 1 species
AUGCCGUACCUGGAACCUGUGUAUUUAUGCAAAGAAAUUUGGGAUGAGAACUGGAUACCUUCCAAGUAUUAUGAAGAAAAGAAAAAGGAUGAUAGCUGGGAUAAUUUGUGCUCUGAUACUGCAGAAAAUUCCUGCCAGGCUGCAGGUGAUGAAGGAAGCAAGGAUGAGACCCGCCACAGCCAGGACGCCAUGCCACAGGAUGCAGAUGUUUCCGGUACUGUUGACAGAAUGACAUGUCUUCAUCUGGAACCCCUGAGCCAGUUCCCCCAAUCGUCUGAAGGAACAGAGACAAGCCCUCCUGGAACAGCGCCUGAUGCUUUGCCACAGACACUGGAAGAGUUUUAUGUCUCUAUUUCCCAUUCCAAGAAAUCAGGAGAGUCAGACGAAAUUGAUUUGGAUGCCAGCAAAUUAUUUGCCCGUUGCGACCAGCCUCCACCAUCAGCAUCUGCGUUACAUGGUACUUGUGGGCUUACAGCUUAAUUGCAGGAAUGCAUAAAUCGAGUUAUGUGCAUCUUGAUGGUAUUGUGAUCUGCAGCUUUAUUA